ensembl:lncRNA
GCCCCUACCUCCCUGGGAAACAGCCCCUGGGGACUGGGCCAGUGUUCCCAAAAGGCUUAGAAUCAGAACCUCAGCAGGCAACCCCCAAACCCCAGGGCAGCCUCCUGAGACCCCGUGUGUCCCAAGGGCCUAUGAAACUGGGUCCAGAGAAACAAUAAGUAGAGUUCUGUCUUUAGAUGACAGGGCUCUACCCUCAGCACCUGCUCUUCUUGUCUGUGUGACCUUGGGGGACAUGGAUUCCAUCUCGGGUUGGAGGGCUAAAGAUCCCACAUGCUAUGUGGCACAGCCAGAAAAAAAAAAAAGAUAAUCGUGCAAAG